rnacentral:rRNA from 1 species
GUCCACGGCCAUGCCACCUUGAAGAAGCCCAAUGUAGGAUCUUGGAAGCUAAACAGGGUCAGGCCUGGUUAGUACUUGGAUGGGAGACCACCUAGGAAGACCACGUGCUGUAGGCA